UAGGGAAUCUUCCGCAAUGGGCGAAAGCCUGACGGAGCAACGCCGCGUGAGUGAUGAAGGUCUUCGGAUCGUAAAACUCUGUUAUUAGGGAAGAACAAAUGUGUAAGUAACUAUGCACGUCUUGACGGUACCUAAUCAGAAAGCCACGGCUAACUACGUGCCAGCAGCCGCGGUAAUACGUAGGUGGCAAGCGUUAUCCGGAAUUAUUGGGCGUAAAGCGCGCGUAGGCGGUUUUUUAAGUCUGAUGUGAAAGCCCACGGCUCAACCGUGGAGGGUCAUUGGAAACUGGAAAACUUGAGUGCAGAAGAGGAAAGUGGAAUUCCAUGUGUAGCGGUGAAAUGCGCAAAGAUAUGGCGGAACACCAGUGGCGAAGGCGACUUUCUGGUCUGUAACUGACGCUGAUGUGCGAAAGCGUGGGGAUCAAACAGG
rnacentral:rRNA from 1 species